rnacentral:rRNA from 1 species
GAGUUUGAUUCUGGCUCAGGAUGAACGCUGGCGGCGUGCUUAACACAUGCAAGUCGAACGGGCGAAUUAUAUCGGAGGUCUUCGGGCCGAAGAGAUAAUAAGCUAGUGGCGGACGGGUGCGUAACGUGUGGGUAAUCUGCCUUUGUCAUAGGAAUAACUGCUUGAAAAAGUAGCUAAUACCAAAUAACAUAUCGUAUAGGCAUCUAUAAGAUAUCAAAGAGAAAUCGGACAAAGAUGAGCCCGCAUCUGAUUAGCUAGUUGGUAGGGUAAAAGCCUACCAAGGCGACGAUCAGUAGCCGGCCUGAGAGGGUGAACGGCCACAUUGGAACUGAGACACGGUCCAAACUCCUACGGGAGGCAGCAGUGGGGAAUAUUGCACAAUGGGGGGAACCCUGAUGCAGCAACGCCGCGUGAGUGAAGAAGGCUUUCGAGUCGUAAAACUCUGUUGUAAGGGAAGAUAAUGAC